UGAGGAAUAUUGGUCAAUGGGCGAGAGCCUGAACCAGCCACGUCGCGUGAAGGAAGACUGACCUUACGGUUUGUAAACUUCUUUUGUAGAGGGGUAAUGGCAGAUACGUGUAUUUGCGUGAAAGUACUCUACGAAUAAGCAUCGGCUAACUCUGUGCCAGCAGCCGCGGUAAUACGGGGGUUGCGAGCGUUAUCCGGAAUUAUUGGGUUUAAAGGGUGCGCAGGUGGCUAAUCAGGUCAGUGGUGAAAAGCUAUGGUUCAACCAUGGUCUUGCCAUUGAAACCGUAUAGCUAGAGAGGAGACGAGGUAGGCGGAAUGUGUGGUGUAGCGGUGAAAUGCAUAGAUAUCACACAGAACUCCGAUUGCGAAGGCAGCUUACCAGGCUUUAUCUGACACUUAGGCACGACAGCGUGGGGAUCAAACAGG
rnacentral:rRNA from 1 species